UGUUUAUCUGCUCACCUAACAAACUAUCCAGUUAUCACCGUUAAACGUGUUUCUAAUAACAUUUCUAGCGAGAAAUAUACUUUUUACUUGCAUAAUCUUUAGUCAGUGAUUGUGUCUGAUCUUUAGUUUUAUAGUUAUUAGGAAGAUUUUAUCGGCUCGAUGUCAAAGAUGUCCGGUUGCUAGGGACGCUGCUUUCGCACAGCUGAGGGCACAGCUGAGGGCUGUUGAUACGGACAACGCAAAAGCGUUAGUAGCUGCUAGAGAAAUUCUUGGUAGGGCUUAAUCCUAGCCUGUUGUUUACUUUUAUUCACUGUAGGGGAGGAUUGCCGUGACAAAUGGAAAUACCUUAGAGGCAAGUACGGCAAAGAAAGAAAGGAAAUGAAGGAGAGGAGGAGUGGAUCGGAGGGAGGACAUAAACACAGUUGGAAAUAUGUAAAAAUUCUAUCUUUCCUGGAGCCUUAUGUCCAGGAAAGGCUCACAAUUAGUAACUUCGACCAGCCAAGCCAGACAGCAGAGAGCAUUUUGAAUGCAAUGUGUGAAAACAAUGAGACUACAUUGGAUGACACAAUCAGUAGUCAACCUGGGCCUGGUUCUUUAAAUGGCAGUUCAUCAAGGCCCCCACCCCAUUCAUCUAGGCCCCCACCCUCUCCAUCUCCACCCCCACAACCACCUCAACAACAACAGCAGCAGGAAUUCGGGCCCAUGAGAGUACAAAGAGGGAGGAAGAGGCAGGCCACUGCGACCAUAACCCCCUACCAGCAACAGGUCCUCAGUGCCCUUGCGAAAGAGGAGAAUGAGCAUGAGCGUUUCCUAUUGAGCUUUGCACCCACACUGGCAAGGUUGGAGCCUCGCAAACAGGCAUUGCUAAAGUGUAGAAUGCAGUCCCUGUUUUAUGACAUCGAGUUUGGAGAAUAAAUGAAAUUAUUAAAUUAAAUUAUUACAUUUAAACACAAA